AUUGAACGCUGGCGGCAGGCCUAGCACAUGCAAGUCGAACGGUAACAGGAAGCAGCUUGCUGCUUCGCUGACGAGUGGCGGACGGGUGAGUAAUGUCUGGGAAGCUGCCUGAUGGAGGGGGAUAACUACUGGAAACGGUAGCUAAUACCGCAUAAUGUCGCAAGACCAAAGAGGGGGACCUUCGGGCCUCUUGCCAUCGGAUGUGCCCAGAUGGGAUUAGCUUGUUGGUGGGGUAACGGCUCACCAAGGCGACGAUCCCUAGCUGGUCUGAGAGGAUGACCAGCCACACUGGAACUGAGACACGGUCCAGACUCCUACGGGAGGCAGCAGUGGGGAAUAUUGCACAAUGGGCGCAAGCCUGAUGCAGCCAUGCCGCGUGUAUGAAGAAGGCCUUCGGGUUGUAAAGUACUUUCAGCGGGGAGGAAGGGAGUAAAGUUAAUACCUUUGCUCAUUGACGUUACCCGCAGAAGAAGCACCGGCUAACUCCGUG
rnacentral:rRNA from 1 species